CGGGGACCAGGAAUUCUGGUGGGGUUCCGGGGAGGGCUCUCGGUCCCACUGGGCAUCAACUGUAGUCACCUGGUGCUGUGUUCAGCCGCGAGGUGGGCUGGUCUGAGGAUCCAGGACAGAUGCAUUGAUGGGAGCAGUCAGCUGAAUCACGGUCCCCGAGAUAUCCAGAUAUUCCCGUGGUCAAGCCUUCAAUUGAGAGGAUGCCUAAAAGCAUUUUGUGCCCAGGUUUCAUCAAGAGUAGACGUGCCUGAAUCCACCGAGGAUCCCACUCGGGAAGAAGGGGACCGCUCUUGUACUAAGCACCAGCUCCCUGAGACCGUCUGCCCCAAGGGGAUUGUGCCCCCAUGUCUGGAGAUGGUUCUGCUGUGCGUGAUUGGGCCCCAAGUCUGGAGACGUGUUAAGGAGGCUCCCAUAGCCCGUUCUUCCCCGUGUGUGUGGUUUCACAGGGUUGCAUGCUCUGUGGGGCUGAAGCAGCAAUGAGACCAAAAGAUCUAAGGAUGCUCUUCCAUUUCCUCUGUAAACAACACUUUAAUAAUAGCAACCUCCCACCCCCGGCGCUUUCUGUCUCUCUGAGUCUUCCUUGAAUCAGGGCAUGUGGGUUGUAGAUGUUUACUGAAAAACUCAGAGUAACCUCUGGGCAGGUCUUCCUCUUAAUCCACGGCGGGUCUGUCUCCUAUUAUCUCAGCCCUGGUGGCCUUCUCGACGGAGACCUGCCAGUGUUGGAGAGGAAUUCUGAGAACCAUGGAGGGCUUCCCAUCCCCAGAAGAAUGGAAACGGAGACAGCACAUUUUGGACCAAAUCUAUCCAGGAAAGGUCCAUGAAAGGAGUCAAAAUAAAAUGUACAGGGG
rnacentral:lncRNA from 1 species